rnacentral:rRNA from 1 species
AUUGAACGCUGGCGGCAGGCCUAACACCUGCACGUCGCACGAGUGGCGGACGGGUGAGUAAUGUCUGUGAAACUGCCUGAUUGAGGGGGAUAACUACUGGAAACGGUAGCUAAUACCGCAUACCCUCAGAUGUGCCCAGAUGGGAUUAGCUCGUUGGUGGGGUAACGGCUCACCACGGCGACGAUCCCUAGCUGGUCUGAGAGGAUGACCAGCCACACUGGAACUGAGACACGGGCCCGACUCCUACGGGAGGAAGCAGUGGGGAAUAUUGCACAAUGGGGGAAAGCCUGAUGCAGCCAUGCAGCGUGUAUGAAGAAGGCCUUCGGGUUGUAAAGUACUUUCAGCGGGGAGGCGUUACCCGCAGAAGAAGCACCGGCUAACUACGUGCCAGCAGCCGCGGUAAUAC